rnacentral:tRNA from 1 species
GCCGCCGUAGCUCAGCUGGUUAGAGCGCUUGAUUGUGGAUCAAGAGGUCCCCCGUUCAACCCGGGGCGGCGGUACCA